rnacentral:tRNA from 1 species
AUUUAAGUAGUUUAUAUAAAAUGUUGAUUUGUGAUAUCAAAGAUGUAGAUUUAAUACCUUAAAUC